UACGGGGGGGGUUAGUGUUAUUCAUCGUUACUGGGUGUAAAGCGCGUGUAGACGGUUUGGAAAGUUUUAAUUAAAACAAUCUAAGCGUAACUUAGAAAUUAAUUUCUAUACUUCCUUUCUAGAGGUUGGAGGGGGAAAGCUAUACUUCUCAGAAAAAGGUGAAAUUUGUCCGAACUGAGGGGGAUAACCAGCUGACGAAAGCGGCUUUCCAUUACAAUACUGACGUUUAGGUACGAAAGCGUGGGUAGCAAACAGG
rnacentral:rRNA from 1 species